GCUUACGACCACACCGUGCCUGAGUACGCCUGAUCUCGUCUGAUCUCGGAAGCUAAGCAGGUUGGGCCUGGUUAGUACGUGGAUGGGAGACUGCCUGGGAAUACCAGGUGCUGUAAGCU
rnacentral:rRNA from 1 species